rnacentral:rRNA from 1 species
GUGGCAGCAGCCGCGGUAAUACGGAGGGGGCUAGCGUUGUUCGGAAUUACUGGGCGUAAAGCGUAUGUAGGCGGAUCAAAAAGUUAGAUGUGAAAUCCCUGGGCUUAACCCAGGAACUGCAUUUAAAACUAGUGAUCUAGAAUUUAGUAGAGGUUAGUAGAAUUUCCAGUGUAGAGGUGAAAUUCGUAGAUAUUGGAAAGAAUACCAGUGGCGAAGGCGGCUAACUGGGCUAUUUUUGACGCUGAGAUACGAAAGCGUGGGUAGCAAACAGGAUUAGAUACCCUGGUAGUCCACGCAGUAAACGAUGAGUGCUAGUCGCUGGGUCAAAAGAUUCGGUGUCGAAGCUAACGCAUUAAGCACUCCGCCUGGGAAGUACGGUCGCAAGAUUAAAACUCAAAUAAAUUGACGGGGGCCCGCACAAGCGGUGGAGCAUGUGGUUUAAUUCGAAGCAACGCGAAGAACCUUACCAGACCUUGACAUGGUGUGUUUGAAUUACAGAAUCGUAAUUCUUCAGUUCGGCUGGCACACACACAGGUGCUGCAUGGCUGUCGUCAGCUCGUGUCGUGAGAUGUUGGGUUAAGUCCCGCAACGAGCGCAACCCUCAUUUUUAGUUGCCAUCAGGUAAUGCUGGGCACUCUAAAAAAACUGCCGGUGAUAAGCUGGAGGAAGGCGGGGAUGACGUCAAGUCCUCAUGGCCCUUAUGGUCUGGGCUACACACGUGCUACAAUGGUGGUGACAGUGGGCAGCUAUUUCGUAAGAAAAAGCUAAUCCUCAAAAGCCAUCUCAGUUCGGAUUGGACUCUGCAACUCGAGUCCAUGAAGUUGGAAUCSSUAGUAAUCGUAGAUCAGCAUGCUACGGUGAAUACGUUCUCGGGCCUUGCACACACCGCCCGUC